rnacentral:rRNA from 1 species
UGCAGCACGGACUUCGGUCUGGUGGCGAGUGGCGAACGGGUGAGUAAUGUAUCGGAACGUGCCCAGUAGCGGGGGAUAACUACGCGAAAGCGUAGCUAAUACCGCAUACGCCCUACGGGGGAAAGCAGGGGAUCGCAAGACCUUGCACUAUUGGAGCGGCCGAUAUCGGAUUAGCUAGUUGGUGGGGUAACGGCUCACCAAGGCGACGAUCCGUAGCUGGUUUGAGAGGACGACCAGCCACACUGGGACUGAGACACGGCCCAGACUCCUACGGGAGGCAGCAGUGGGGAAUUUUGGACAAUGGGGGAAACCCUGAUCCAGCCAUCCCGCGUGUGCGAUGAAGGCCUUCGGGUUGUAAAGCACUUUUGGCAGGAAAGAAACGUCAUGGGUUAAUACCCCGUGAAACUGACGGUACCUGCAGAAUAAGCACCGGCUAACUACGUGCCAGCAGCCGCGGUAAUACGUAGGGUGCAAGCGUUAAUCGGAAUUACUGGGCGUAAAGCGUGCGCAGGCGGUUCGGAAAGAAAGAUGUGAAAUCCCAGAGCUUAACUUUGGAACUGCAUUUUUAACUACCGGGCUAGAGUGUGUCAGAGGGAGGUGGAAUUCCGCGUGUAGCAGUGAAAUGCGUAGAUAUGCGGAGGAACACCGAUGGCGAAGGCAGCCUCCUGGGAUAACACUGACGCUCAUGCACGAAAGCGUGGGGAGCAAAC